CCAAUAGCGUAUAUUAAAGUUGUUGCAGUUAAAAAGCUCGUAGUUGAAUUUCGGGGUUAGCAGGUCGGUCGUGCCACCGGUAUGAACUGGCCUCGCUGAUCCCUACCUCUUGACGAACUGUGAUGCCAUUAAUUUGGUGUCGCAGGGAAUCAGGACUGUUACUUUGAAAAAAUUAGAGUGUUUAAAGCAGGCUCACGCUUGAAUACAUUAGCAUGGAAUAAUGAAAUAGGACGUUUGAUCCUAUUUUGUUGGUUUCUAGGAUUGACGUAAUGAUUAAUAGGGAUAGUUGGGGGCAUUAGUAUUCAAUUGUCAGAGGUGAAAUUCUUGGAUUUAUUGAAGACUAACUACUGCGAAAGCAUUUGCCAAGGAUGUUUUCAUUAAUCAAGAACGAAAGUUAGGGGAUCGAAGACGAUCAGAUACCGUCGUAGUCUUAACCAUAAACUAUGCCGACUAGGGAUCGGAUGAUGUUAAUUUUUUAAUGACUCAUUCGGCGCCUUACG
rnacentral:rRNA from 1 species